rnacentral:rRNA from 1 species
UCCACGCUGUAAACGAUCAUCACUCGCUGUUGGCGAUACACAGUCAGCGGCCAAGCGAAAGCAUUAAGUGAUGCACCUGGGGAGUACGGUCGCAAGGAUUGAAACUCAAAGGAAUUGACGGGGGCCCGCACAAGCGGUGGAGCAUGUGGUUUAAUUCGAUGAUACGCGAGGAACCUUACCAGGGCUUAAAUGCAGAAUGACAGGAUGGGAAACCAUUUUUUCUCGGACA